rnacentral:rRNA from 1 species
GAUGAACGCUGGCGGCGUGCUUAACACAUGCGAGUCGAACGGAAAGGCCCAAGCUUGCUUGGGUACUCGAGUGGCGAACGGGUGAGUAACACGUGGGUGAUCUGCCCUGCACUUCGGGAUAAGCCUGGGAAACUGGGUCUAAUACCGGAUAGGACCACAUUUUGGAUGGUGUGGUGGAAAGGUUUUCGGUGUGGGAUGAGCUCGCGGCCUAUCAGCGUGUUGGUGGGGUAAUGGCCUACCAAGGCGUCGACGGGUAGCCGGCCUGAGAGGGUGUACGGCCACAUUGGGACUGAGAUACGGCCCAGACUCCGACGGGAGGCAGCAGUGGGGAAUAUUGCACAAUGGGCGCAAGCCUGAUGCAGCGACGCCGCGUGGGGGAUGACGGCAUUCGGGUUGUAAACUCCUGUCGCUAGGGACGAAGCGUUUUUGUGACGGUACCUGGAGAAGAAGCACCGGCUAACUACGUG